GCCUUUUCAAAGUUAUCAAUAAUAUUCCUAUCAUGAGCACUUGUUUUCUUUAUAUAUUAUGACUAACCAUGACAGAGAAGAAAACAAGUAUGGGUGAGGGAAUCUUCGAGAACUCGGUUUGCACAACCUUCUCCCUCUUCUAAAAAGUUUUUCAAAAAUAAAAUAUUUAAAAUAUCGUUGCCUUCAAACUCCAUUUAACAUGUCUCCUAGUUUGAAAUUUGCUUUGCAUAUGGUUUAAUCCUUGCUAAUAUCCUUGAGGUUAUGAACAC
rnacentral:lncRNA from 1 species